UUGCUAAGGCCGAUGGCGACCGGCGCACGGGUGAGUAACACGUAUCCAACCUGCCGUCUACUCUUGGACAGCCUUCUGAAAGGAAGAUUAAUACAAGAUGGCAUCAUGAGUCCGCAUGUUCACAUGAUUAAAGGUAUUCCGGUAGACGAUGGGGAUGCGUUCCAUUAGAUAGUAGGCGGGGUAACGGCCCACCUAGUCUUCGAUGGAUAGGGGUUCUGAGAGGAAGGUCCCCCACAUUGGAACUGAGACACGGUCCAAACUCCUACGGGAGGCAGCAGUGAGGAAUAUUGGUCAAUGGGCGAGAGCCUGAACCAGCCAAGUAGCGUGAAGGAUGACUGCCCUAUGGGUUGUAAACUUCUUUUAUAAAGGAAUAAAGUCGGGUAUGGAUACCCGUUUGCAUGUACUUUAUGAAUAAGGAUCGGCUAACUCCGUGCCAGCAGCCGCGGUAAUACGGAGGAUCCGAGCGUUAUCCGGAUUUAUUGGGUUUAAAGGGAGCGUAGAUGGAUGUUCAAGUCAGUUGUGAAAGUUUGCGGCUCAACCGUAAAAUUGCAGUUGAUACUGGAUAUCUUGAGUGCAGUUGAGGCAGGCGGAAUUCGUGGUGUAGCGGUGAAAUGCUUAGAUAUCACGAGACUCCGAUUGCGA
rnacentral:rRNA from 1 species